AUUGAACGCUGGCGGCGUGCCUAAUACAUGCAAGUAGAACGCAGUUGCGAACGGGUGAGUAACGAGUAGGUAACUGCCUGGUAGCGGGGGAUAACUAUUGGAAACGAUCGCUAAUACAGCAUACUACCAGAUGGACCUGCGUUGUAUUAGGUAGUUGGGGGGGUAACGGCUCACCAAGGCAACGAUACAUAGCCGACCUGACAGGGGGAUCUGCCAAAACGGGAAUGAGAACCGGACCAGACUCAUAAGGGAGGGAGCAGUAGGGAAACUUCGGGAAUGGACUGAAGGCUGACCGAGCAAAGCCGGGUGAGUGAAGAAGGUUUUCGGAUCGUAAAGCUCUGUUGUAAGAGAAGCGGUAUCUUACCAGAAAGGGACGGCUAACUACGUGCCAGCAGCCGCGGUAAUUC
rnacentral:rRNA from 1 species